GCCAGCCCGCUCAGAAUCAAGGAAAUUGACGGGGGCCCGCGACAAGCGGAGGAGCAUGUGGUUUAAUUUCGAUGAUACGCGAGGAACCUUACCUGGGCUCGAACGUAAGAUGACUGUAGGUGAAAGCUUACAUCUCUUCGGAGCAUUUUACGAGGUGCUGCAUGGUUGUCGUCAGCUCGUGCCGUGAGGUGUCGGGUUAAGUCCCAUAACGAGCGCAACCCCUACCUUUAGUUGCCAUCAGGUUAAGCUGGGGACUCUAAAGGAACUGCCUACGCAAGUAGUGAGGAAGGCGGGGAUGACGUCAAAUCAGCACGGCCCUUACGUCCAGGGCUACACACGUGCUACAAUGGCCGAUACAGAGGGCAGCUACCUGGUGACAGGAUGCAAAUCUCCAAAGUCGGUCUCAGUUCGGAUCGGAGUCUGCAACCCGACUCCGUGAAGUUGGAUUCGCUAGUAAUCGCGCAUCAGCCAUGGCGCGGUGAAUACGUUCCCGGGCCUU
rnacentral:rRNA from 1 species